rnacentral:misc_RNA from 1 species
UACGUAGGUGGCAAGCGUUGUCCGGAUUUAUUGGGCGUAAAGCGAGCGCAGGUGGUUUCUUAAGUCUGAUGUGAAAGCCCACGGCUCAACCGUGGAAGGUCAUUGGAAACUGGGGAACCUGAAUGCAGAAGAGGAGAGUGGAAUUCCAUGUGUAGCGGUGAAAUGCGUAGAUAUAUGGAGGAACACCAGUGGCGAAGGCGACUCUCUGGUCUGUUAUUGACACUGAGGCUCGAAAGCGUGGGGAGCAAACAGG